UGAGAGGACGAUCAGCCACACUGGGACUGAGACACGGCCCAGACUCNUACGGGAGGCAGCAGUGGGGAAUAUUGGACAAUGGGCGCAAGCCUGAUCCAGCAAUACCGCGUGUGUGAAGAAGGCCUGAGGGUUGUAAAGCACUUUCAAGAGGGAGGAAUACCUAUCGGUUAAUACCCGGUAGAAUGACAUUACCUUUAGAAGAAGCACCGGCUAACUCCGUGCCAGCAGCCGCGGUAAUACGGAGGGUGCGAGCGUUAAUCGGAAUUACUGGGCGUAAAGCGUGCGUAGGCGGUUCGUUAAGUCAGAUGUGAAAGCCCCGGGCUUAACCUGGGAACUGCAUUUGAAACUGGCGGACUAGAGUUGAGUAGAGGUAAGUNGAAUUUCAGGUGUAGCNGUGAAAUGCGUAGACAUGUGGAGGAAUACCAAUGGCGAAGG
rnacentral:rRNA from 1 species